CCGGAAAGCGCUGUUGCCAUGGUGAUCGCUGGGCUUCCCCGCUUCCAAGGGGCCGGGUUUCCAGAGUCGAGUAGGGGGCGUGGCUUGGGGAAGCUGCGCGAUCGCUCCUCGCUCCAUCACUUUUUCCCCAGUGGCCAUAAAUGAGAAAACUGAGGCCAAAGAGGCUAGUCACACAGCUAAUGAGUGCUAGAGAAGAAUUUACUGGACUCCAGAGUCCUUACCUCCAAGAAGGCUGAAAUCCUUCCUUCGCCACGCUGAGCACAGUUCUCCCGGGACAGUUUGAAAUUUACAUCAUCUGGACCUUGUCAGGAAGGAUGAGAGACGGCCGAUUUCAGCUGCAGCCAGAUGUCUGGAGGAGACCGUUCCAGCUCAGAUCAGCUGUCCUCACUGAACCACAAGUUAAAGAUGAGCCUCUGACUCUGAGAAAGUGAGGACCUACUUACCAUCGACUGGCCAAAGGUUCCAGCAGCAGACAAGGAUGGGAGAUCUCGUGGGAAACAAAAUGGUCUGUGAGGAUGGCAUGGUGGGUCUUGGCCUCAUCAGCACCGCAGACUACAGGAGGAGGCCAGCCUCUGAGUGGGACUGACCACUCUGUCACUUGAAACUCCCCAAGACAGUGCGUUAUGGACCAGGCACUAUAAUUUCCUGUUUUUAACAGCUUUGUGACAUACAAUACACUGCACAUAUUUAAAGUGUACAAUUUGAUAAGUUUUGAUAGAUGUAUACACCCAUGAAGCCAUUGCCACAAUCAAGAUAGUGAACCGAGCCAUCACCCCAAAAAGUUUCCUAGUAACCCUUUGUAAUCCCUUUCUCCUGCCCUCUCAUCCCUUGGCCACUGAUCUGCUUUCUGUCACUGUAAAUUAGUUUGCAUUUUCUAAAAGUUUAUAUAGAGGCCAGCCCCGUGGCCGAGUGGUUAAGUUUGUGCACUCCACUUCAGCGGCCCAGGGUUUCACCGGUUCGAAUCCUGGGUGCAGACAUGGCACCGCUCACCAGGCCAUGCUGAGGCGGCGUCCCACAUGCCACAACUAGAAGGAUCCACAACUAAAAUAUACAACUAUGUACCCGGAGGGGGUUGGGGAAAAAAAGGAAAAAUUUUUUUAAAAAAUCAAAAAAUAAAUAAAGUUUAAAAAUAAAUAAAUAAAAGUUUAUAUAAAUGGAAUCAUAGAGCAUAUAAUCUCCUUUCUCUGCUUCUUUCACUCAGAAUAAUUAUUUUGAGAUUCAUCCAUGUUGUCACAU
rnacentral:lncRNA from 1 species